UUCUAUGAUAACACACUACGAAUAGCACUGAUAAUCCGUGUGGGCGAUAGACAACAUGGCUGCCAUGAUUUGGAGAAACAUUAUCCUGGGACUGCUGGCGGUAGCUGCGGCGUCCUACGUUGGGAUCAUGAUCUCUCACAAGGCAAUUGAAUUCUACUACAACUACAUAGCAAUCCCGCAAAGCCAACGCAGAAAAAGUUAAUGAUGAAACAAUCAAGGCUGAUUAAAAAUCAUCCAAUGACGAAUGUUCAGUGUGUUUAAAUUAUAUUGUAAAACGUAGAUAAGCCAAUCUGGUUUUGUAAAUUUAGCCAUGAUUUGUACACGAAUGAUUGUAAACGAAUUAUAAGUUUUAACUCAGU